rnacentral:rRNA from 1 species
GCUUACGGUGAAUACGUUCCCGGGCCUUGUACACACCGCCCGUCACACCAUGGGAGUUGGUUCUACCCGAAGACGCUGCGCUAACUUCGGAGGCAGGCGGCCACGGUAGGGUCAGCGACUGGGGUGAAGUCGUAACAAGGUAGCCGUAGGGGAACCUGCGGCUGGAUCACCU